UAGCGGCGAGUGAAGCGGCAAAAGCUCAAAUUUGAAAUCUGGCGCCUUCGGUGUCCGAGUUGUAAUUUGAAGAUUGUAACCUUGGGGUUGGCUCUUGUCUAUGUUUCUUGGAACAGGACGUCACAGAGGGUGAGAAUCCCGUGCGAUGAGAUGCCCAAUUCUAUGUAAGGUGCUUUCGAAGAGUCGAGUUGUUUGGGAAUGCAGCUCUAAGUGGGUGGUAAAUUCCAUCUAAAGCUAAAUAUUGGCGAGAGACCGAUAGCGAACAAGUACAGUGAUGGAAAGAUGAAAAGAACUUUGAAAAGAGAGUGAAAAAGUACGUGAAAUUGUUGAAAGGGAAGGGUUUGAGAUCAGACUCGAUAUUUUGUGAGCCUUGCCUUCGUGGCGGGGUGAACCGCAGCUUAUCGGGCCAGCAUCGGUUUGGGCGGUAGGAUAAUGGCGUAGGAAUGUGACUUUACUUCGGUGAAGUGUUAUAGCCUGCGUUGAUGCUGCCUGCCUAGACCGAGGACUGCGAUUUUAUCAAGGAUGC
rnacentral:rRNA from 1 species